UACGAAGGGGGCUAGCGUUGUUCGGAAUGACUGGGCGUAAAGCGCACGUAGGCGGACUAUUAAGUCAGGGGUGAAAUCCCGGGGCUCAACCCCGGAACUGCCUUUGAUACUGGUAGUCUCGAGUCCGGAAGAGGUGAGUGGAAUUCCGAGUGUAGAGGUGAAAUUCGUAGAUAUUCGGAGGAACACCAGUGGCGAAGGCGGCUCACUGGUCCGGUACUGACGCUGAGGUGCGAAAGCGUGGGGAGCAAACAGG
rnacentral:rRNA from 1 species